GCUGGAACUGGGUCCAAAGUGUGAGCCCUAACUUGUUCUGAACAUUUCCUGGAAUUAGGGCUGAGUUCUGGGCAGCGGUGAGGCUGAGGAAGAGGCAAAGGAAAUUCAGUGCCUCGCUGGGACAAGGGUCCAGCUACUGAGGAGGAAAAUCCAGUCUCGUGAGGAGAGUAGAUGGAGGUUUAUUUUAAAAGCAAGUGUGGGCACGAAAUCCAGGCCCAGUCAGGGCGAUGUGAGGGAAGCUGGUCCAGUUACUCUGAGUCAGCUUCUCUUACAACCUGAAUAAAGAGGACACCGUCUCCCCAGAGGCUGUCUGGGCUGCUGGAAACCCGUGGGAAUCCGUGGGAAUCUGCGCAUCCACUUCCUACCAAGGUCGUUCUGCAGAGUUGUUGCCAGAGACCAGGUGGCCUGGCAUGAGAUCUGAGACUCGGCAUCCUUUGCUGUCUGCAAACAUCAGCCCCUCAUUCCCAAGGGGUCACCGAGGGCCAGGAGUGGGAAGAGGCCUUUUCCUGUCCAUGCACUGGUCAGUCCUGGCCUGGGGUGCUGGUAACGAGGGCCGUGUACAGGCUAGCACAGCCCUGCUGGCUGGGCGGCUCCAUCCAUCCCGGGGUGAGGCUUCGAGCUCUUGAAAGGCCACUGUUCCGGUCUGUCUGCAGCUGGUUGUGUGUGUGGCCCACCCUCACCCUCACCCCACCCCCACACAGCGUGCGCAGUCAGAGCUUUGUUCACGCCAUUGUCCACAAAUGAAUGCUCCUACCUACUCUCGGUUGCUCCCCGUCCCAAGUUGUUGGCCAGUUCAGUCUCAGUGCCAGUGGCUGCUCCUUUCUCAGAAUUAACCACAACCUACCUGAUGUUCCCCUGACACUGGGUUUAUUCCAUCAUCAUAAAAUUUACUUCAAGAUGGCUUUAGCUGGAUCUUUCCUACUAGAUCAGUGCUUCUCAAACUUUAUAUGCGUACAAGUCACCUGGAGAUCUUGGCAAAGUACAUGUCCAGAUUCAGGAGGUCUGGUCUGGGGCCUGGGAGCCUGCAUUUCUCACAAGCUCCCAAGUGUCGCUGACACUGGUGACCUGUGGACCCACGUGGCAUGGCAAGUACUUCCUCUGAGUUCCUUGAAGGCAGCUGCCAUAUCUUACUCAUCUUUGUAAUACCAGCUUUUAGUACAGUAUCUGGCUGAUUACAGCUGGUUAAUAAACAUUUGUUGAAUUGAAAUGAAAUGGGUUAAGGCACUGGUGUCUCUGAAGUGUUUCCUUUAGGUAUAAAUCUGUGAUCUGGGCAGUGUUAGAGGAUGGUUGUAGCCGAGACGGCUGA